AUGGUGUUUUGGGCUAGUCAGAGAGCCUCAAGAUCAAGCUGUGGACUGCUGCUCUUGUGCAACCAGUUUACCACCAGCCAGUUUACCAUGCUGACAAAAACUGCUAACUGGAACCCCAGCACCACAUUUCCCCAAGUGAAUUAUGCCAGCCAUGGAGAGAGAAUGGAAAAAUGGUCAUCUCAUCAUGUAGUCUGCUCGCCUGUCAAGGAGAUGUGGAAAUGUGCUGGCAUUCCAGCUGAAGACAUCAUUAUGAGUGAGAAAAUGCUCAAGGUCCUUUUUCAAAGUGGGUGCCGAAAGAGAUGCUUUCCUUCUUUGACUUCGGGGAAGGCUGAGAGCUGCCCCAGAAGACAGGCAUUGAGAGGUCAGAGGCUAGCAAAGCUGACUGUGUGUGAGCACAUGUGUUUGAAUGUGUGCACACACAUACACAUGCAUUUGUCUUCAAGGUUUUUCUGGAUGAUGGCUAAAGUAAAUAAUCUUUUUUUUCCAAUAAAGGAUGCACAACAAAAGAAGAUGAUGAAGAUGAUGAAGAAAUCUAUAACAAAGGACAAUCAGCCUGCAGUGAGAGAAAUGAUUUUAAUAUCUGACAGGUUUUGUUUCCUAAUCUUUGCUAUUCAUAUUGACGGGUAG
rnacentral:lncRNA from 1 species